CAGAGUUUCACUCUUCUUGCCCAGGCUGGAGUGCAGCGGCACAAUCUUGGCUCACUGCAAACUCCACCUCCCAGGUUCAAACGAUUCUCCUGCCUCAGCCUCCUGGGUAGCUGGGACUACAGACUCAUACCACUACGCCCGGCUAAUUUUUGUAUUUUUAGUAGAGACAGGGUUUUGCCAUGUUGACCAGGCUGGUCUGGAACUCCUAAUCUCAGGUGAUCUGCCUGCCUCGGCCUCCCAAAGUGCUGGGAUUACAGGUGUGAGCCACCGCACCCGGCCCACUAUUCACUCUUUUGCUACAAACCUGGGGUCUGUGAAUAAACUUCUCGACUCUUUGGUCUGUUGUCAACUAGGGAAAUACACUAUUUUACAUUUAUGCCUUCCUUCCCACCUCCAAAGCAAACAAAGGCUUUCACGGUAUAACAAUUGGAGAAUGAAACAAAAAGAUUCCCCUCUGUACACUAUUCCCUCAUCCCUGAACCCUAAGAGCACAAACGUGCUCUUAUUCUCUUUCAUUCCAACUUGGACCCUUUAAAAGAGCACAAAGCCACAAAGAAUACCAACAGUAGAACCUGAUGAACACCAUAGGUAAGUGUUAUUCAUCAACUACUUGAGUUUUUCUUUUGGGAAAACAGAAUGAGAGGUUCCAGUAAAAAGAGCAAGAAGGUACAUGUACACAAUAGAAUACUAUUCAGUGCUAAAAAGAAAAGCGCUAUCAAGUCAUGAAAAGACAUGGAGGAAAUUAAAUCCACAUUACUAACAGAAGAAGCCAAUCUGAAAAGGCUACAUACUAUACAAUUCCAACUCGAUGACAUUCUGGAAGAGGCAACACUAGGGAGACAGUAAAAAGAUCACUGGUUGGGCCGGGCGCGGUGUCUCACACCUGUAAUCAUGGCACUUUAGGAGGCCAAGGCAGGCGGAUCACUUGAGGUGUUAGGAGACCAUCCGGGCCAACAUGGUGAAACCCCAUCUCUACUAAAUAUACAAAAAUUAGCCGGGCAUGGUGGUGGGCGCCUGUAAUCCCAGCUACCUGGGAAGCUGAGGCAGGAGAAUCACUUGGACCUGGGAGGCGGAAGUUGCUGAGAGCCGAGAUCCUGUCAUUGCACUCCAGCCUAGGCAACAAGACCGAAACUCUGUCUCAAAAAGAAAAAAAAAAAAAAAAAAUCAGUGGUUGCCAGGGGUCAGGGGGCGGGGCGAAGGCAGGAAAAAAUAAGCAGCACUGAGGAUUUUUUGGGCAGUGAAACUACUUUGCAUGAUACUAUAAAGGUGGAUGUGUAUCAUUCUACAUUUUUCCAAAUCAAAAGAACGUGCAACACCAAGAAUAAACCCUAGCCAGGUGCAGUGGUGCAUGCCUAUAAUCCCAGCACUUUGGGAGGCGAAGAUAGGUAGAUCACUUGAACUCAGGAGUGAUGUGCCCACCUCAGCCUUCCAAAGUGCUGAGAUUACAGGCGUGAGACACCAUGCACAAUGGUAUUAAACAAUGUUUUCCAGUUCCUGGUGGUUCUGGUUCUUGUUGGGUGAUGAGAUUUUGUAACUUAUUUACCACGUCAUGUACCAUAUACAUGUUUAAAACUUUCUUUUAAAA
rnacentral:lncRNA from 1 species